rnacentral:rRNA from 1 species
AAUCCAUAGGUUAAUGAGGCGAACCGGGGGAACUGAAACAUCUAAGUACCCCGAGGAAAAGAAAUCAACCGAGAUUCCCCCAGUAGCGGCGAGCGAACGGGGAGGAGCCCAGAGCCUGAAUCAGCAUGUGUGUUAGUGGAAGCGUCUGGAAAGGCGCGCGAUACAGGGUGACAGCCCCGUACACAAAAGCGCAUGUGCUGUGAGCUCGAUGAGUAGGGCGGGACACGUGGUAUCCUGUCUGAAUAUGGGGGGACCAUCCUCCAAGGCUAAAUACUCCUGACUGACCGAUAGUGAACCAGUACCGUGAGGGAAAGGCGAAAAGAACCCCGGCGAGGGGAGUGAAAAAGAACCUGAAACCGUGUACGUACAAGCAGUGGGAGCACAGGUUUACCUGUGUGACUGCGUACCUUUUGUAUAAUGGGUCAGCGACUUAUAUUCUGUAGCAAGGUUAACCGAAUAGGGGAGCCGGAGGGAAACCGAGUCUUAAUUGGGCGUUAAGUUGCAGGGUAUAGACCCGAAACCCGGUGAUCUAGCCAUGGGCAGGUUGAAGGUUGGGUAACACUAACUGGAGGACCGAACCGACUAAUGUUGAAAAAUUAGCGGAUGACCUGUGGCUGGGGGUGAAAGGCCAAUCAAACCGGGAGAUAGCUGGUUCUCCCCGAAAGCUAUUUAGGUAGCGCCUCGUGAAUUCAUCUCCGGGGGUAGAGCACUGUUUCGGCUAGGGGGCCAUCCCGGCUUACCAACCCGAUGCAAACUGCGAAUACCGGAGAAUGUUAUCACGGGAGACACACGGCGGGUGCUAACGUCCGUCGUGAAGAGGGAAACAACCCAGACCGCCAGCUAAGGUCCCAAAGUCAUGGUUAAGUGGGAAACGAUGUGGGAAGGCCCAGACAGCCAGGAUGUUGGCUUAGAAGCAGCCAUCAUUUAAAGAAAGCGUAAUAGCUCACUGGUCGAGUCGGCCUGCGCGGAAGAUGUAACGGGGCUAAACCAUGCACCGAAGCUGCGGCAGCGACACUCAGGUGUUGUUGGGUAGGGGAGCGUUCUGUAAGCCUGCGAAGGUGGCCUGUGAGGGUUGCUGGAGGUAUCAGAAGUGCGAAUGCUGACAUAAGUAACGAUAAAGCGGGUGAAAAGCCCGCUCGCCGGAAGACCAAGGGUUCCUGUCCAACGUUAAUCGGGGCAGGGUGAGUCGACCCCUAAGGCGAGGCCGAAAGGCGUAGUCGAUGGGAAACGGGUUAAUAUUCCCGUACUUGGUGUUACUGCGAAGGGGGGACGGAGAAGGCUAUGUUGGCCGGGCGACGGUUGUCCCGGUUUAAGCGUGUAGGUGUGUGUUCCAGGUAAAUCCGGUU